rnacentral:lncRNA from 1 species
CACUGUAGAUCCUUAAGUCCGCGCAUCCCGAUCUGAUGAAUGAGCUUCCGGAACGUUGAAGUCGGCAAUGAUUUGGUGAAUAGGUCGGCUGAAUUCUCACUUGACCGGAUCUGUUGAACUUUGACCUGACCGUCCUUCUGUAAUUCAUGAGUGAAUAAGAGCUUUGGCAAAAUGUGCUUCGUCCGGUCUCUCUUAGUGUAGUCAUCCUUGAGUUGAGCAAUACAGGCUGCGUUGUCUUCAAAUAUGAUGAUCUUUGAUGUAGUAGUAGAUGCGCCUUAAGAAAGGCUGCCUACGUACCCUUGGAAGGGAUCAAGCCACACAUAGUUCAUAUUCAUUGACCAUACCAUAAUCUGAUCUUAUGAAUAUCCUACAUUAGUAAAUCAAACUAAACCAAAGCAAACUGGUCCUUCUUUGGUUAGAUCAGUAUAGAAUAAACCCAAGUAAACAACGCAGGAAGAAUAGACUUUAAAACUUAAUCAAACCUUCCUUUAAACCUUUCCAGUGCCUUUGGGUUGAUCAUGAACUAAAUUUAGACAGAAGACUCACGGCAAAACAAAUGUUUGGUCUAGUGUGUCUAGCCAAAUUCAUUAGAACUUCUAUGGCACUGAGGUAUGGCAUUUCCAGACUGAA